CAGACAUAAGUGUCCCAUCUGGAUAAAAGUAUUCUGGCUGCAAUUUGCAAUGCAGGGAUGGCUCUUUAGUCCAGAGGUGAAAUCAGCCUUCAGUUUCUGAAUGGGCUGUGUUUCUCAUAAGACUGUGUAUGAAAAGCCAGCCAUGACCUAAUGUCAAACCUGUUGUUUUCUGCUACUUAUUAGGGAGGGCUCAGAUAAAGCUGUUGAAAAUGUGCCAGUUACUAUUUCCCAAACCAAAUGUAGAAGACUGAAGGUGCUGUGCUGCUGGACUCCACUCACUUCCACAAAUGAAGAAAUCUCUGAGGUAUCCAUCACUGUCUUCAUGUUGGUAUUUGGAAGGAUAAGCUCUUCAGAAGAGAUGCUGCUGGUAUUUCUUCCCUAGGAGGCAUCCCCAAGGGCUCCAUGGGACCGCAGAACAACUCAGGAUGAAGGAGACCUUGGGCUUAGCACCUUGUCCAUCCUCCGGAUAAUCCUUCACCAAAAUGCCACGUAGGAGUCCCACCGCUGCUGUCUGUUCUUUUCACUGUACAGAGAGUGGUGGGAUCAGGACAUUGCAGUAGAAUGUUUGUACAGUUUUACUACUGAAGGAGAAAAAAAGAAGUCUGGCUGGCACUCUUACAGGCCAGGACAGAUCGGGCAUGACCCAGUGCUCCAAGGAGUCAUUUCUUUCCUCCCCAAGGCAACUGCACAGCACAUCUUUCUGGAAGGUCUACAGAUAAUCAGCCCUCCCUGUUACCCACUAUGAACGAUUCCAUAUUCUCUACGUGUACAUUUAAUAAAUCCCUUUAAAUUGAUGCAGAAUGCUGGGGAUCCCCGCUCUUUUUCUCUUAGCUCUUUAACGUGACUGAUGAACAGUUGGCUAAUCCCUUCCCUCAGUAUGAGGCAGGAAAAGGAGCUGCUGACACUAACAAGGAAAAAAGGAAGGUGGUUAUUCCUGGAGAAGACGCCUCUCUCCUUAAUAGCCUGACACAGUGAGGUGGCUGCCUGCAGAUUGGGAAACAGUUUCCAAAGCUCAUCAUCACCCAAGUGAGGUGGUUGCCACAGCAGGUCAGUCCCAGCACUUCCAGCCCUGCUGACCAGCGACUGAGUCAGGCUCUCCUGGCCCUGGUCACACCAC
ensembl:lncRNA